rnacentral:lncRNA from 1 species
GUCUGUGAACUUGUAUAUGAUGAACAGCAAUCAAGUAAAAGGGUUUCUUUGUUGUAGACCAAGUAAAUUUGACAUUAUGAAUUUUCCAUGUCUUUUUAUUUUAUUUUUCCUUCGUCCUCCUUGAUAGAAUUGGAAACUAAAACAUGUUCACUUAGCAAAAAAGACAAUAGACCAUGACUAAAAAGGCAGAGCCAAAUAAUCGCUGUGAAAACGAUUCAAAAAAGCUUAUACAACUGCAUACCAAAUUUAAUUGACUUACCACUUGUUGUUCCCAAUAGUUCCCAAUAAACUGACCUAAUCACAAACAAAUCCAUGUAAAAUAAGGAAAAGCUUCAAAGUCAAUAGACCAUGAUUGAGGGGGCAGGGUCAAUAUCUCUAUGGAAAUGAGAUGUGCCAAUACUAAUAGGACUAAAAUAAAGGACUGCAUACCAAAUAUGAUUGAUCUACAACUUGUAGUUCACCACAUUAACUAGAUCUAAUCACAAAUUUUAAAAUACAUUGCUGCCGCUGUGGUGGAUGACAGAAACAGCAUACCUUUGUCUCACUUUUAGACCCUGUCAAGUGAGACAAUAAUAUAUAUAUGCAACCAUACACAUGAAAAAUACAUCUUGAAAUAAGAAGUUCUCUUUAACAAACCUUAACACAAACUAAUACAUAAACUAAGCAAAAUUUCAAAGUCAAUAAACCAUAACUGAGAAGACGGGCGGAGCAAAAUAAUCUCCAUGGUAAUGAGAUGUGCCAAUACUAAUACAACUACAUACCAAAUAUCUUUGACUACCAAACACAUAAAAAUAUACUAAAUGAUAUAGAUCAACCUUACUGCCGAAUAGGCAGAUAGAUCUUCACCUAAUGAUCAUUUCUACCUUUUGUCAGAUUUACUCUACAUGCUUUUCAGAGACAUAAGCCAUAAACUGCAUUUUACCCCUAUGUUCUAUUUUGAGCCAUGGCAGCCAUCUGGUUAAUGGCAGGCGGGUCAUCAGAUACAUUUUUUAAACUAGACACCAUAAGGAUGAUUUAGGCCAGGUUUAGUUUUUUUUGGCCCAGUAGUUUCAGAGGAGAAGAUUUAUGUAAAAGUUAACGGACAACGAUGACGGACGCCAAAUGCAUGAGAUGAGCUUGGCGAACUAAAAAUAAAUUGAUCAACCAAUUUUUUAUUUCUUUGAAGCAACUUUACUCUGAAAUGAAAUAUAAAUAUAUAUACAACCAUGCAUACACAUGAAAAUAUAUAAAACAAGAAUUAGUCAUUAGUAGGCCCCACUAGCACUGUCAUUGUCUAUUUCAGUGGACUGAAAAA